UACGUAGGGGGCAAGCGUUGUCCGGAAUCAUUGGGCGUAAAGAGCGUGUAGGCGGCCCGAUAAGUCCGCCGUGAAAGUCCAGGGCUCAACCCUGGGAUGCCGGUGGAAACUGUCGGGCUAGAGUCCGGAAGAGGCGAGUGGAAUUCCUGGUGUAGCGGUGAAAUGCGCAGAUAUCAGGAGGAACACCAAUGGCGAAGGCAGCUCGCUGGGACGGUACUGACGCUGAGACGCGAAAGCGUGGGGAUCAAACAGG
rnacentral:rRNA from 1 species